AUUGAACGCUGGCGGCAGGCCUAACACAUGCAAGUCGAGCGAGCGGCGGACGGGUGAGGAAUGUAUGGGGACUGCCCGCUAGAGGGGGAUAACCACUGGAAACGGUAGCUAAUACCGCAUACUAUCGGAUAACCCAUAUGGGAUUAGCUGGUAGGUGAGGUAAUGGCUCACCUAGGCGACGAUCUCUAGCUGGUGUGAGAGGAUGAGCAGCAACACUGGGACGGAUACACGGCCCAGACUCCUACGGAGGCAGCAGUGGGGAAUAUUGCACAAUGGGCGCAAGCCUGAUGCAGCCAUGCCGCGUGUAUGAAGAAGGCCCUAGGGUUGUAAAGUACUUUCAGUCGGGAGGCGUUACCGGCAGAAGAAGCACCGGCUAACUCCGUGCCAGCAGCCGCGGUAAUAC
rnacentral:rRNA from 1 species